UAUGAGAUCAGCCAAAUCAAAUUCAGCUUGAAACUCCCAUUAUUUAGUUCAUUCACCGCCUUCACCAUUUCAUUUUUCUGAAAAUUUGACAACACGCAGCAAACUUUGAUUCUCUGUCUUUUUUUUCCUUGAUUUCCAUUUGUUCUUUCCAGUGCAGGCAUCAAAGGUGCGGCGCGGCUAGGACGUUACUUUUGACUUAAAUUAUUCAAGUUAGCAUUCAAGUUGAGAUUCAAGUUCAAAAUUCAGGUUUUAAAGGCCGGAGACGCGUGGAAGGUCGCAUGGCGAGUCAAAUAUUUUGAAUUUAGUUUUACUUAAAAAUGUUAUUUUGAGCAAGGUAUGUUUAAAUAAAAAUUUAUUUCCUUAUUUUCUCAUUAAAUAUUUAUUUAUAUUCAUAGUUUUUCCGCGUGCGUUUCCAUGUAAAGAUAAAUUGGAUUUGGGUGUCACACUUUAACCCAAAUAUUUAU